UUGAAAUAUUAAAACACACUCUUGCGUAACCACAUGGUCUCCAGUUAAAACAAAGCUAGCACAAGUUAAUUUAUUGGAGAAUUCGAGUUGCUGUUCUCUAUAACUAUAUAUUUUUGUUGUUUUUUGGUUUUGUUGUUGUUGAUGUUUUUGUUUUUCUCACCACUUUUCAAAAUCUUAUGUGUUAAGAUUACCGUUUAACAAAAACACGGCAUUGGUCGGCUCCCACGCUACUUCCGUUCAAAUUGACAAAACUCUAUCAUAAAAUCAAUAUAACAUAACACAAAAACAAAACAAACAAUAAACAUAACUAAUUCCUACAAAUUAUUCAAGAUGUACACAAAAACUUAAAAAUAGUGUUACGUGUAUGUUUAACCAAAUCAAUGUAAACAAAAAAGACAAGUUUGGUUUCUCCAUGUUUUUUUUCUUGUUUAUAUAAAAGAAGAGAAGCAUUUUAAAAAGGAGAAUGGCUGCAGAUGGACGAGUACCUGAAGAGAGUUUGGUUCCACAUACGACAAUUUUAUUCUGCUACGAAUGCUACCGAAGCAAAGUUUACGAAUUAGCAUAUGCUGUACAGAAAUACUUUACUCACGUCUGUGGUUCUUCGCCCUUUUCGCCUUGUGAGUUGAUACGAACUUCUUAGGGGCUUAGGCGCGAAUUUCCUCAUCGAAAGUUUCCCGCCAAUGACUAGGAGGGAUAUUACAUGCGACAAAGUAAAGGUUUAAAUAUGUGAAAGCGAAGUAAAUAAACAGUUAUUAUUGUAUUAUAAAUUAUAAUUUGACAAAAUGGAUUGUAUUUUAAAUGUCUCACAUCCAUAAUACAAGUUGAAAUAUU